rnacentral:tRNA from 1 species
GUGGUGUUCGACUGGUUCAGCGCACCGGCGAUCUUCCGCAGCGCCUGGCUCAUCAGGCGGGCCUGGAGGCCGACGUGCGAGUCGCCCAUCUCGCCC